ensembl:lncRNA
UUCAGACUGAUUCAUCCCAUGACAAGAUUGCAAGUGUGCUGGCUCGGGGUCUCUCUUCCUCUUCUUGUAAAGCCACUCAUACCCUCAUGGGGGCCCUACCCCCAUGACACAGCUAAUCCUAAUUACCUCCCAGUACAAUCAGCAUAUGAUUUUGGGGAUUCAGUUUCCCACUGUGGGGGACACAUUCAAACUAAGCCAUAAGAUGAACAGCUCUGCACUGCCACACCACACACUCCCUGCCAUGGAGUGCUUCCUGGUCCCAGAGCCCAAAGCAGCAGGGCCUCCUAUUGUGGACCGGAAUCUGCAAAACCUGUUUGCCCUGAAGUUGGAAGACUGACUGUAUGGUGCUUCCCAAGAACACUUGCUGCAAGGCUGAAUUUUUGGAGAAAGACUUUGAGGCUGACCAGACAUGCAGGAGGCUGAUUAGAGACUGCUCUUGGGACAGAGGCCCGUGGAAAAGGAUUGAAGUGGGAGAAGGGGAAUGGGGGGAAGAGAUCUGAGAUGCAAAUCCCCUUGG